rnacentral:rRNA from 1 species
GACGAACCGUGCGAACGUUGUUCGGAAUCACUGGGCUUAAAGGGCGCGUAGGCGGCUUGCCAAGUCCGGGGUGAAAGCCCCCAGCUCAACUGGGGAAGGGCCUCGGAUACUGGCGAGCUCGAGGGAGGUAGGGGUCGAGGGAACUUCUGGUGGAGCGGUGAAAUGCGUUGAUAUCAGAAGGAACGCCGGUGGCGAAAGCGCUCGACUGGAUCUCUACUGACGCUGAGGCGCGAAAGCUAGGGGAGCGAACGGG